UACAGAGGUCCCGAGCGUUGUUCGGAUUCACUGGGCGUAAAGGGUGCGUAGGCGGCGCGGUAAGUCGGGUGUGAAUCUCGGAGCUUAACUCCGAAACUGCAUUCGAUACUGCCGUGCUUGAGGACUGGAGAGGAGACUGGAAUUUACGGUGUAGCGGUGAAAUGCGUAGAUAUCGUAAGGAAGACCAGUGGCGAAGGCGGGUCUCUGGACAGUUCCUGACGCUGAGGCACGAAGGCCAGGGAGCAAACGGG
rnacentral:rRNA from 1 species